AGUCAGGGCUCUGGCUGGGCCAUUCAAGAACAGUCACAGAGUUGUUGUGAAGCCACUCCUUCGUUAUUUUAGCUGUGUGCUUAGGGUCAUUGUCUUGUUGGAAGGUAAACCUUCGGCCCAGUCUGAGGUCCUGAGCACUCUGGAGAAGAUUUUCGUCCAGGAUAUCCCUGUACUUGGCCGCAUUCAUCUUUCCCUCGAUUGCAACCGGUCGUCCUGUCCCUGCAGCUGAAAAACACCCCCACAGCAUGAUGCUGCCACCACCAUGCUUCACUGUUGGGACUGUAUUGGACAGGUGAUGAGCAGUGCCUGGUUUUCUCCACACAUACCGCUUAGAAUUAAGGCCAAAAAGUUCUAUCUUGGUCUCAUCAGACCAGAGAAUCUUAUUUCUCACCAUCUUUAGCAAACUCCAUGCGGGCUUUCAUGUGUCUUGCACUGAGGAGAGGCUUCCGUCGGGCCACUCUGCCAUAAAGACCCGACUGGUGGAGGGCUGCAGUGAUGGUUGACUUUCUACAACUUUCUCCCAUCUCCCGACUGCAUCUCUGGAGCUCAGCCACAGUGAUCUUUGGGUUCUUCUUUACCUCUCUUACCAAGGCUCUUCUCCCCCGAUAGCUCAGUUUGGCCGGACGGCCAGCUCUAGGAAGGGUUCUGGUCGUCCCAAACAUCUUCCAUUUAAGGAUUAUGGAGGCCACUGUGCUCUUAGGAACCUUAAGUGCAGCAGAAAUUUUUUUGUAACCUUGGCCAGAUCUGUGCCUUGCCACAAUUCUGUCUCUGAGCUCUUCAGGCAGUUCCUUUGACCUCAUGAUUCUCAUUUGCUCUGACAUGCACUGUGAGCUGUAAGGUCUUAUAUAGACAGGUGUGUGGCUUUCCUAAUCAAGUCCAAUCAGUAUAAUCAAACACAGCUGGACUCAAAUGAAGGUGUAGAACCAUCUCAAGGAUGAUCAGAAGAAAUGGACAGCACCCGAGUUAAAUAUAUGAGUGUCACAGCAAAGGGUCUGAAUACUUAGGACCAUGUGAUAUUUCAGUUUUUCUUUUUUAAUAAAUCUGC